GCAAUCGACUCACUCUCUCUCUCUCCGGCAACUCUCAGGUAAGGACUCUCUCUGUCUCCGUCUCGCUCUCUCUCGCCGAUCUGUGAUUUUAAGAAAUGGGAUAGACGAAGCCAAAUCCAGUGGUGUUUGGCCCACCGUGAAGCCUUUCGUCAAUGGCGGAGCCUCUACAAUGCUCGCUACCUGUGUCAUCCAACCUAUCGACGUGAUCAAGGUUACUACAAAUGCUGAUGAGUCGAUGAAGAAAUUUAUUUUGGCAUUUGUUGGAAAAAAAUGGAGAGAGUGGAAAGCUAGAGUUAAAAAAAUGGGGUAUAUGCCAUUCAUCGACCCGAAAGAGUACAUGAGCAUCAAUGGCGGAGCUUAGUUUAUUAUUGGGGCACUCGGAAGGCAUAGCUCACUUUUGGUAUAACUACCAUGGAAAACCAGAAAAUACUUUGGAAGGACUUGUAUUUCUUCGAUUAUUACUUCCCAAAUCCCAAAUCACUAAUACCAUGGAUCGGAAUGUAAUGCGACAACAUCUCUAAUUGCUUCUUAGCAAUUGUUACCGAUGCUUUCUCUGCGUUUCGAAACAAAAAAACUUUGGUUUUCGUGCAAAUUCUCCACUGUCAAUGCGGCUACGCUGACAUUGUUCAGUGUAGCAAUGAAGAUGCCACUGGAUUUGAGUAGUGACAUGUAUGGAGGAAGCGAUCAACUUGCAAAACUUAGCAGUACAGUCAUGGCAUAAAAUUACCUAUUAUAAUACAUAUCAUGACCGUGUUGCUAAGUUUUGCAAGUUGAUCGCUUCCUCCGUACAUGUCACUACUCAAAUCUAGUGGCAUCUUCAUUGCUACACUUAACAGCGUCAGCGUAGCGGCAUUGAUAGUGAAGAAUUUGCACAGAAACCCAAGUUUUUGUUUGGAAAUGCAGAGAGAGCAUCGG